rnacentral:rRNA from 1 species
AAGUCAGGUGUGAAAGCCUUCUGUUCAAAGGAAGAACGGCAUCUGAAACUGCAGAUCUUGAGUGUAGGAGGGGAGAGUGGAACUUCUGGUGGAGCGGUGAAAUGCGUAGAUAUCAGAAGGAACGUCGGCGGCGAAAGCGACUCUCUGGCCUAUUACUGACACUGAGGUGCGAAAGUUAGGGGAGCAAACGGGAUUAGAUACCCCGGUAGUCCUAACCGUAAACGAUGGGCACUAAGUAGAGGGAAUUACCAAUGUUCUCUCUGCCGUAGCUAACGCAUUAAGUGCCCCGCCUGGGGAGUACGGCCGCAAGGCUAAAACUCAAAAGAAUUGACGGGGGCUCGCACAAGCGGUGGAGCAUGUGGCUUAAUUCGAUGCAACGCGAAAAACCUUACCGGGGUUUGACAUGGUAGAAGUAGGAGCCCGAAAGGGCAACCAACGGUAUCCAAUCCGUAACUAUCACAGGUGUUGCAUGGCUGUCGUCAGCUCGUGUCGUGAGACGUUGGGUUAAGUCCCCUAACGAGCGAAACCCUUGUUUUUAGUUACCAUCGGGUAAUGCCGAGUACUCUAAAAAGACUGCCGUCGUCAAGACGGAGGAAGGUGGGGAUGACGUCAAGUCAUCAUGGCCCUUAUACCCCGGGCUGCACACGUGCUACAAUGGUCGGUACAAAAGGAAGCAAGA